GAUGAACGCUGGCGGCGUGCCUAAUACAUGCAAGUCGAGCGGACGGACAGGAAGAUUGCUUCUCUGCUGUUAGCGGCGGACGGGUGCGUAACAAGUGGAUAACCUACAAAUAUGACUGGGAUAAUUACGGGAAAAAGGAGAUAAUACCAGAUAAUAUCUUCAACGGUUUGGAUCCAAAGUGACAGACACUUUUGAUGUUACCAAUAGUUGGAUUCGCGUUGCAUUAGCUAGUUGGUAAGGUAACGGCUGACCAAGGCAACGAUGCAUAGCCGACCUGAGAGGAUGGUCAGCCACACUGGAACUGAGACACGGUCCAGACUCCGACGGGAUGCAGCAGUAGGGAAUCUUGCGCAAUGGGCGAAAGCCUGAUGUAGCAACACCGCGUGAGUGAAGAAGGUCUUCGGUUCGUAAAUCCCUGUUAUUGGGGAAGAACAUGGGUAUAAGUAUAUCAACACAUUGUGACGGUACCUAAACAGAAAGCCCCGGCUAACUGCGUG
rnacentral:rRNA from 1 species